GAUGAACGCUGGCGGCGUGCCUAAUACAUGCAAGUCGAACGAGAACCAACCUUCGGGAUGGGGACAGUGGCGGACGGGUGAGUAACACGUAGACGACCUGCCCUGAAGCAGGGGACAACCCGCCGAAAGGCGAGCUAAUACCCUAUAAGCUCACGAGGCUUAGAAACUUGUGAGAAAAGAUUUAUCACUUCAGGAGGGGUCUGCGGGCUAUCAGCUAGUUGGCGGGGUAACGGCCCACCAAGGCAGUGACAGCUAGGGGGCCUGAGAGGGUGGUCCCCCACACGGGUACUGAGAACGGACCCGACUCCUACGGGAGGCAGCAGUGGGGAAUAUUGGACAAUGGGCGCAAGCCUGAUCCAGCCAUGCCGCGUGAGUGAUGAAGGCCCUAGGGUUGUAAAGCUCUUUUGUGCGGGAAGAUAAUGACGGUACCGCAAGAAUAAGCCCCCGGCUAACUUCGUGCCAGCCGCCGCGGUAAG
rnacentral:rRNA from 1 species